UGAGCGGCUUCCCGCCGGGGCUGUGCUUCCCGGCCCCGGAUGCUGUGCGGGCAGGGGCCGGGGGCAGCUUGCAGCAGCGCUUGGGGGCAGUUCGAGGGCUCUCCGGCCCCUCUGGCACGUCAGGGCAGUUGCCCCAGUUCCUGAACUCCUGCAGAGGCUCUCAGCACAUCAGCCUCCUUGUGCCAGAGAGCGGUGGCAGGAACUGCUGCACCCCGGGGGCACUUGGGCCUUAGUCUCCUCCCCGGCCAGGCCUUUCCUAGCGUGGGUUGCCGCUUCCCACAGUGCACUGGGCCUCCCCUCCGGGGAUGGGGACAGUGCAGACGCCAUUAGGUGGCUGUGCCCUCCGUGUGUCCCUGGUGGAGUGCAAGCCGAGCCGGCUCUCCCAGGCCCCCUGGCUGCAUGGUUUGGCAUGGCCAUGCAGUGACAGCCCAGGCUGUGAGCACCGCCGCUCUGCAGAGCCGGGUAAGGGGUGUACCUAUCUCCCUGGUCAGUUUCCUUUCCAGCCGUUUUCAGCCUUGAGAACAUCUUCAAGUUCACAUCCGAGGAAGUGCCCGUGCAGGAUGCGGCUGAGGACUGGCCAAAGCUGGACGUUUCCUUGGGCAUGAGCGGAGAAGAGAAGCCUAUGCACCCGUGGUGGGGCUUCAGUGGGACCUCUCCCCUGGCAGCCCUGCCUUUGCCCUUUGGCGCACGUGGUGCAUCAGGCUUACCUCCAUAGAGACCCCAUCUCUUGUCCAGACCCUGCCUCUCCUCCCUGAGCCCUGUUCAGGGCCUCCCUCCUUCCCUGGAUGCAGCACCACCCACCUCGGGAUGAGUGCUGGGGAGGGCAGAAGGGACUGACGGGCCUGGGCAGUGGUCAGGGCCUUGUACCUCAGCCAUGGGGUUCUAGAAAACAAACCCUGAGUAGAGAGGCCCCUGGUGCUCCGGGCCGUUGGUGGCUCCCGGCCGUUGGUGGCUCCCAGGGUCCUGGGCUGCAGCUUGAGGCCCAAGAUCGCAGACAGUGCUUUGCAGGCGGCCGUUUGCUAAGGACACACUUGCAGCUGCCAUCGGAAAAGAAGCUCUCACUCCUCGGCGGCUUGCAGGGUCGUGGGUGAGGGCUGCAACCUGCUGGCCCAGGGCUCUGGGGACGGCAGUGAGGUUGGUGUGGGCAGGUGCCCUCCACGGAGCAGGUGUCCAGGUGGCUGGGAAGGAGUCCGGGCUGCAUGUGGUGGCUGUGGGUGUGUCUGAGGCCCUUCUGGACUCUGCCCAGGGAACACUCCACAGGACCCUGGGGACCUGCAGGCCAAGGCCUGGACCUAGGUGGGCAACACGCCCUUCAUACGUGCUGCUCCUGGAGAGAAGCAAGAGGACAGCCUGCUGGCCAGGCAGGGGCGAGGAGCGGCAGUGCUGACGUCCCGGGACAUCCAGCCCACAGUGCAAGUCUCAGGGCCAUGUGGAGGCCUGGACACUGGGACCCAGCAGGGCUGGGCACGUGCCAGGCCAGGCAUACCUUUGGGCUAGAGCGAAAUGAGGCUGGCCUGCUCUGAAGCACUGGGGCGUGCCAGGCUGCGCCCCCAGCCUGUCUUCUCCAGAACACAAGUACCAUGGCCACCUCGCGAUGCCUCUGGAGUGGGUCCCACUCCUUGUUCUCGGCAGACGUCACUUGGCUGACCCUCCGGAGACCAGGGCCACCGUGAGGACCACUGGAGGAGCUGCCCCCACCAGCAGCUUCCCUCUGCACCACUGCAGUGCGGAUCCAGACCAAGACCCCCUGGACCAGGAGCUGGUGGCCUGCUCGACAGGUCGGUCGUAAGAAUGAGUCCAAGACUGAGUCCAUCGAGCCCCAGCUCAGCAGACGGUACCCGGGCUACCCAGCCAAGCCCCAGCCAGCACAGGACCCCUCUGCUCCCUCCCGCUCCACCCCCAGCGCUGCAGUGCCUGGUCCUGAGGGCCACCCCUACCCAAGGCCAGCACCAGCCCAGCCUCAAGCAGCCUGAGGAACCAGCAGAUGGCAUAAUGGUUACGUCGCUGGACUCCCACAUAGUCGACCGUGGUUCAAGGCCUGG